CUCUGAUUCUCUGUGCUGCGGGUAGGUGCUGAGCUCCGAGUUUUCUUAAUAAAUAAUAAUUAAAAACAUAUUUUAGGUUAAAAAUUAUGCUCCAACUAUGUUAAUAAAACAUAUUAAAACUUAUUUUUGUGAAGAAUUGAUUGUUUUAGGUCGUAGGUAACUGUUUAUGACUCUAUUUCUCACUCCUCUGUUAAAAGUUGGGUGAGAUUCACACGAGGCUCCGUUUUUCAGUGGCAGUAACUGCAGUAGCCACUUCACCACGACAGAAGUAAAAAAUAUUUACGUGUUGUUUUCCAGCAGCAGUCUCUGAUUCUCUGUGCUGCGGCUGGCAGUAACUGCAGUAGCCACUUCACCACGACAGAAGUAAAAAAUAUUUACGUGUUGUUUUCCAGAAUAAAAGUGGAUGAAAGCAUGAACGAGGGUGUGCGUGUGCUGCUGUGCUAUUGGUGAGGGGUGUCGUGAAACAAGCUGGCUCUGCUGACGGGUCCGUCACACUGGUGCCGUGAAUCCGUCACACUUGGGUGUUGCUUAGUGGUUGUCAGGAACAUUCUGUGGUAUAUCCAGAUGGUUUCUCUGGUGUUACAGGAGGAUGUUUUUGAUUUUGCAAUCCCUCAAACGAAGCGCUGCAUUCAAGCCCAAAUCGCAUAAGCAAUGCUUCGAAAAGUUUUUUUUGUUUGUUUUUUGUCUAUUACCCAUCUGUUACCAAUACUUAAUAGUAAAUCAUCUGGCGCCUAAAA